GGUGGUUCUCAGGUGAUGCACCCCGGAAUCAGGCUUCCUCCUCUCUGGAUCUGGGUGCGUCACCCAAGAACCACA
rfam:Myotis davidii contig85292, whole genome shotgun sequence.